rnacentral:rRNA from 1 species
ACAGCUAAUUGCAUAGUAUUGUGCAAUAUUGACUUAGUCAAAUAAAGUUCUGAAUAAAUCUAGAUAAUGACUUAAUUUAUUCACAUGUCUUGACCAAAAUGCGUGCCAGCAGUCGCGGUAAGACGUAUAAGACUAGUGUUGUUCAUCUUUAGUAGGUUUAAAGCGUAAUUAGACGGCAAAUCAAGCUGUAAUAAGAACUAAUUUGCUAGAGUUACUUGUGAUGGGGCUUAUAAGUACUAAUGGAGUAGAGAUAAAAUGUUAAUAUACCUUUUUUCAAUAGAAUUAUUAUGGCACUGGUAAAAGCGAAAGCAUCCCCUUAUGUGAUAACUGACGUUAAAGUACGAAGGCUUUGAGUCGCGAAUAGGAUUAGAUACCCUAGUAGUCUAAGCAGAAAAUUAUGAGUGUCAUAGACUAGUUAAUAAUUAUUAAUUAGUAAUUAAGUAAUUAGUAAUUAAGUAAUUAGUAAUUUAUAUAUAAAAUGUAUAGGUAACUCCUAUUUGUGUUUAUAUACUAUUAUAUAUUACUUAUUAGUCUAUAAAUGAAAGUGUAAGCACUCCACCUUAAGAGUAAAGUGGCAACACCGAAAUUGAAAUCAUUAGACCGUUUCUGAGNNNNNNNNNNNNNNNNNNNNNNNNNNNNNNNNNNNNNNNNNNAACCUUACCACAACUUGAAUAUUUAUAUUUUAAUAUAUUUACAAGCGUUGCACGGCUGUCUUAAGAAAUGUUCUGAGAAUUUGGUUAGGUCCAUUAAAUUAACGUAAACCCUCGUUUUACUUUAAUGUGAAAUGGUUCACCGUUAUAUUGGUUAAGAUAAAAGGGAAGAAGACAAGUCAUCAUGGCCUGAAUGUUGU